rnacentral:lncRNA from 1 species
AGUUAGUGUGCCAUAAGGCAAAUUUAGCGCUAUGUUAAGCAAUCGUAAUUGGACUUAUGUAGAAGUCACAACUAUCUGAGGCCGGUCAAUAAUAAUGUAGGCAACAACACAAGUUAGAAGUCUUGAUUAGUGAACCAAGUUCCAACAACUUGCCAUGUCAAAAAGAAGAAGAGAAUUGAUCUUGUAUUGGUUUAAGGCUUUUGCAUGAUUUAGGAAACAACCUAUCCUUAAUGCAAAGCCAUUCACUUGAUCAAUUGAUCAAGAUGAAUUAGAUUUGAAUCAGGGAAGAUUAAGUCUCCCUAAUCAAUGUUAACUUAUCAAUCUUAAAUUCAUUGAUCAAAAAAAGAAAAAAAAAAAAGAAGAAGGAGAAGAUGAAUA